AACUUUCAACAACGGAUCUCUUGGUUCUGGCAUCGAUGAAGAACGCAGCGAAAUGCGAUAAGUAAUGUGAAUUGCAGAAUUCAGUGAAUCAUCGAAUCUUUGAACGCACAUUGCGCCCUGUGGUAUUCCGCAGGGCAUGCCUGUUCGAGCGUCAU
rnacentral:rRNA from 2 species